rnacentral:rRNA from 1 species
UUUCCGGUUGAUCCUGCCGCCGGCCACCGCUAUCAAGUUCCGACUAAGCCAUGCGAGUCAAGGUAUCGUAAGAUGCCGGCAAACUGCUCAGUAACACGUGGAUAAUCUAACCUUGAGUAAGGGAUAACCUCGGGAAACUGAGGAUAAUACCUUAUAAUUGCUUAAAACUGGAAUGUUUAAGCAAUAAAAGUUCCGACGCUCAAGGAUGAGUCUGCGACCUAUCAGGUAGUAGGUGGUGUAAUGGACCACCUAGACUCAGACGGGUACGGGCCCUGGGAGGGGUAGCCCGGAGAUGGACUCUGAGACAUCAGUCCAGGCCCUACGGGGCGCAGCAGGCGCGAACACUGUGCAAUGCGCGAAAGCGCGACACGGGGAGCUUGAGUGUCUUGGCAUAGCCAAGACUUUUCUCAUUCCUAAAAAGCAUGAGGAAUAAGUGCUGGGUAAGACGGGUGCCAGCCGCCGCGGUAACACCCGCAGCACAAGUGGUGGUCACUUUUAUUGAGCCUAAAGCGUUCGUAGCCGGUUUUGUAAAUCUUUAGAUAAAGCCUGAAGCUUAACUCCAGAAAGUCUGAAGAGACUGCAAGACUUGAGAUCGGGUGAGGUUAAACGUACUUUCAGGGUAGGGGUAAAAUCCUGUAAUCCCGGAAGGACGACCAGUGGCGAAAGCGUUUAACUAGAACGAAUCUGACGGUAAGGAACGAAGGCUAGGGUAGCAAACCGGAUUAGAUACCCGGGUAGUCCUAGCUGUAAACAUUGCCCAUUUGAUGUUGCUUUCCCGUUGAGGGAAGGCAGUGUCGGAGCGAAGGUGUUAAAUGGGCCGCUUGGGAAGUAUGGUCGCAAGACUGAAACUUAAAGGAAUUGGCGGGGGAGCACCGCAACGGGAGGAGCGUGCGGUUUAAUUGGAUUCAACGCCGGA